rnacentral:rRNA from 1 species
AAAUUGAAGAGUUUGAUCAUGGCUCAGAUUGAACGCUGGCGGCAGGCCUAACACAUGCAAGUCGAGCGGUAGCACAGAGAGCUUGCUCUCGGGUGACGAGCGGCGGACGGGUGAGUAAUGUCUGGGAAACUGCCUGAUGGAGGGGGAUAACUACUGGAAACGGUAGCUAAUACCGCAUAACGUCGCAAGACCAAAGUGGGGGACCUUCGGGCCUCAUGCCAUCAGAUGUGCCCAGAUGGGAUUAGCUAGUAGGUGAGGUAACGGCUCACCUAGGCGACGAUCCCUAGCUGGUCUGAGAGGAUGACCAGCCACACUGGAACUGAGACACGGUCCAGACUCCUACGGGAGGCAGCAGUGGGGAAUAUUGCACAAUGGGCGCAAGCCUGAUGCAGCCAUGCCGCGUGUGUGAAGAAGGCCUUCGGGUUGUAAAGCACUUUCAGCGGGGAGGAAGGCGGUGAGGUUAAUAACCUCAUCGAUUGACGUUACCCGCAGAAGAAGCACCGGCUAACUCCGUGCCAGCAGCCGCGGUAAUACGGAGGGUGCAAGCGUUAAUCGGAAUUACUGGGCGUAAAGCGCACGCAGGCGGUCUGUCAAGUCGGAUGUGAAAUCCCCGGGCUCAACCUGGGAACUGCAUUCGAAACUGGCAGGCUAGAGUCUUGUAGAGGGGGUAGAAUUCCAGGUGUAGCGGUGAAAUGCGUAGAGAUCUGGAGGAAUACCGGUGGCGAAGGCGGCCCCCUGGACAAAGACUGACGCUCAGGUGCGAAAGCGUGGGGAGCAAACAGGAUUAGAUACCCUGGUAGUCCACGCCGUAAACGAUGUCGAUUUGGAGGUUGUGCCCUUGAGGCGUGGCUUCCGGAGCUAACGCGUUAAAUCGACCGCCUGGGGAGUACGGCCGCAAGGUUAAAACUCAAAUGAAUUGACGGGGGCCCGCACAAGCGGUGGAGCAUGUGGUUUAAUUCGAUGCAACGCGAAGAACCUUACCUGGUCUUGACAUCCACAGAACUUUCCAGAGAUGGAUUGGUGCCUUCGGGAACUGUGAGACAGGUGCUGCAUGGCUGUCGUCAGCUCGUGUUGUGAAAUGUUGGGUUAAGUCCCGCAACGAGCGCAACCCUUAUCCUUUGUUGCCAGCGGUCCGGCCGGGAACUCAAAGGAGACUGCCAGUGAUAAACUGGAGGAAGGUGGGGAUGACGUCAAGUCAUCAUGGCCCUUACGACCAGGGCUACACACGUGCUACAAUGGCAUAUACAAAGAGAAGCGACCUCGCGAGAGCAAGCGGACCUCAUAAAGUAUGUCGUAGUCCGGAUUGGAGUCUGCAACUCGACUCCAUGAAGUCGGAAUCGCUAGUAAUCGUAGAUCAGAAUGCUACGGUGAAUACGUUCCCGGGCCUUGUACACACCGCCCGUCACACCAUGGGAGUGGGUUGCAAAAGAAGUAGGUAGCUUAACCUUCGGGAGGGCGCUUACCACUUUGUGAUUCAUGACUGGGGUGAAGUCGUAACAAGGUAACCGUAGGGGAACCUGCGGUUGGAUCACCUCCUUA